rnacentral:ncRNA from 2 species
AAAGCCUAGUCGGGGUGCAAUACGCUGAGAUCAUACCCGUGAACCUGAAACAGUUAAUACUGACGUAGGAAACUAGGAAUAUAACCUU